UGGGGAAUAUUGCACAAUGGAGGGAACUCUGAUGCAGCGACGCCGCGUGAACGAAGAAGGCUUUCGAGUCGUAAAGUUCUUUUAUAUGGGAAGAUAAUGACGGUACCAUAAGAAAAAGCCCCGGCUAACUACGUGCCAGCAGCCGCGGUAAUACGUAGGGGGCUAGCGUUGUCCGGAAUCACUGGGCGUAAAGGGUUCGCAGGCGGAAAUGCAAGUCAGGUGUAAAAGGCAGUAGCUUAACUACUGUAAGCAUUUGAAACUGCAUAUCUUGAGAGGAGUAGAGGUAAGUGGAAUUUUUAGUGUAGCGGUGAAAUGCGUAGAUAUUAAAAAGAAUACCGGUGGCAAUGGCGACUUACUGGGCUCAUACUGACGCUGAGGAACGAAAGCGUGGGUAGCAAACAGG
rnacentral:rRNA from 1 species